GAUGAACGCUAGCGGCAGGCUUAACACAUGCAAGUCGAGGGGCAGCAUGAGGGUUAGCAAUAACCCUUGAUGGCGACCGGCGCAAGGGUGCGUAACGCGUGAGCAACUUGCCCGUUUCAGGGGGAUAACCGGUGGAAACGCCGACUAAUACCCCAUAGCAUCACAAGGAGGCAUCUCCAUGUGAUUAAAGAAUUUCGGAAACGGAUAGGCUCGCGUGACAUUAGCUAGAUGGCGGGGUAACGGCCCACCAUGGCGACGAUGUCUAGGGGUUCUGAGAGGAAGGUCCCCCACACUGGAACUGAGACACGGUCCAGACUCCUACGGGAGCAGCAGUGAGGAAUAUUGGUCAAUGGUCAGACGACUGAACCAGCCAUGCCGCGUGAAGGUCACGGCCCUAUGGGUCUUAAACUUCUUUUGCAAGGGAACAAUAAGAGCUACGUGUAGCUUGAUGAGAGUACCUUGCGAAUAGCAUCGGCUAACUCCGUGCCAG
rnacentral:rRNA from 1 species